rnacentral:tRNA from 1 species
GAAUAAAGGAUUAUCUUGAUAGGAUAAAUAAUGUAUUUAUAUACUUUUACUAUAUUAACUUUAAU